GACAGAGGGUGCAAACGUUGUUCGGAAUUACUGGGCGUAAAGCGCAUGUAGGCGGCCACGCAGGUCGGAUGUGAAAUCCCUCGGCUCAACCAAGGAAGUGCAUUCGAAACCGCAUGGCUGGAGUCCCGGAGAGGAAGGCGGAAUUCUCGGUGUAGAGGUGAAAUUCGUAGAUAUCGAGAGGAACACCGGCGGCGAAGGCGGCCUUCUGGACGAGGACUGACGCUGAGA
rnacentral:rRNA from 1 species